rnacentral:tRNA from 1 species
GCCGGGGUAGCUCAAUCGGUAGAGCGUGUGGCUCUUAGAAGCAUUCAGUGCAAUGCAACGAGAUCACCUCAAGGUCGUGGGUGUAAGUUGAUCAUCGAUUCAGCCCAAUGUCCAGAACAAUCACUGAAUGAUUACCUCAGUCGAGCCCCACCUUCGGCU